AACGAACGCUGGCGGCAGGCCUAACACAUGCAAGUCGAGCGAGGACUUCGGUCCUAGCGGCGGACGGGUGAGUAACGCGUGGGAACGUGCCCUUUGCUUCGGAAUAGCCCUGGGAAACUGGGAGUAAUACCGGAUGAGCCCUUUGGGGGAAAGAUUUAUCGGCGAAGGAUCGGCCCGCGUUGGAUUAGGUAGUUGGUGGGGUAAUGGCCUACCAAGCCGACGAUCCAUAGCUGGUUUGAGAGGAUAAUCAGCCACACUGGGACUGAGACACGGCCCAGACUCCUACGGGAGGCAGCAGGGGGGAAUCUUAGACAAUGGGGGAAACCCUGAUCUAGCCAUGCCGCGUGAGCGAUGAAGGCCUUAGGGUUGUAAAGCUCUUUCAGCUGGGAAGAUAAUGACGGUACCAGCAGAAGAAGCCCCGGCUAACUCCGUG
rnacentral:rRNA from 1 species